GUGGUUUUGAUGUGUGUUUAUUCCCUGUUCUUUUUUGAAAUUAUUUGUAUUAUUUUUUUCACUUUUUGGUGGUGGUUGUUUGAGAAACGUCGAAAUCCUGAUCGCAUGAAGCUUCGAACUUUAACAACCUAUUCAACCAAACGGAACCCCAAAAAAACAAAAGCCAACCCGGUUGAGAAUAAAAUAUGGCUCGGUUUCCAAACGGUCCAUGCAUAUAUUUUC
rnacentral:lncRNA from 1 species